AUUAACUGUAACAAAUUUACCUUUAACAAUCAACAAUCAACAAUCAACAAUCAAAAAUCUUUCGUAUGAUUAACAAUUGAAAACAACUUUUCGUUCCACUGUCUUUUUCUCUGUCUACAUUUCGACCAUUGAUUUAAGACAAACAAUCGAAAAGGUAAACAUUUAAAUCAGUUGAAAAUUCAUUUUCUCCACUAAAUCAUGUUAAUCACUUUCUCUCUUAUUCUCUUCUUUAAUUGUGAUUACUUUUAAUUGUUCCUCUUGUUAAAGUGCUUCUUAUAAAGGAUAACAUGUGAUAUAUUUUUCCCUUUGGAAUUAAUAUUUUCUUUCCUAUUCUAAAGGUAAUUUAACCAGAUUAACAAGGUGUAUUCUUUGUUGUAUUAUUGUUAAAGAAAAGCUGAGUAAUUAACGGUAACUUAAUCAGUGAUUUAGUAAUUAUUAUUACCAGCUAUUAACAGACAACCUGAGUAUUCCCAUGUUUAACUACCAAUAAUCCUGACUAACCAACAAUUAAGUUAACCUCAAGUGUUUCCAAUUGGUGGUAUUUACAAUUAAUCGGUGUCAAGCUCACCUGUUAACCUGCCAAAGUCAUCAAGCUAAUUUGCUCCUUAAUCCUUUCUCUUGAUUCAUCUUAAUCUCUUGAUUUGCAAUCAACAUUAUCAUCUCUAUAUUUCUAAAUGAUUGAAGUGACCAUUUCCUUUUCUAACUUGUCCAUCAUCUCUCAAUAUAUUAGAUCACUUUGCUGGUCAUUGGUCAAAGAAAAUCAAAGUGAAUGUUAUUAUCAAACCAGAGAAACACUGAAUGGAUUGAGGAGAGAGAGAGAGAAGAGGAAAUGGAAUAAAAGAAUAUAACUUUUUCUCUUCUUCUAAAUGACCAUUGGACUAAAGUGGACACCAGGAAGAUUGAGAGAUGAAAAGGUGAAAGGUGGUUAUUAAAAAGUGACGAAAAUACUGGAUCAAGGAAAAGAUAAUACAUAAUAUAAGAUUGGAAUUGACAUGUUGUUGCUUUAGUAAUUCAACGAGAAGAAUGGAAGAAAAUUUCCUGGGACAGAAUUUGAUGGAAAACAUGAUGAAAACUCUUCUUUCCAUAUAUUCUCGGUGUGUCUCAUUCUUAUCCCUCAAUAACAUGAUCAUCACCACCACCAAGAAAUUCACCUUCAUCACUUGAAAUACUUUAUCCAUCUUCUUAUUAUUAUAACAAGAAGAUCAUCACCAACUCAUUCAAUUUUUUUUCUCUCUCUCUCUCUCUUCCCAAUCCCAUGAAACUGUCUCUUCAAGUGUCUCUCAUUUAAUAUCAGAUCAUCUGAUUUUCUGAGAAUCUUCAACGUCAACCUUUUGAAGUUUAUGAUUUGCUAACCUAACGGAUGUGGAACUCAAAGGAAAAACCAUUAUCGAGUAUAUUAUUACAUCGAAGUGUAAUAUUGCCUGAUAUUCCUUUCAACUGUGAUACAUAUAUACAAGAAACUCCCUUUGAAGAGAGAGAGAGAGAGAGAGAGGAAGGAGAAGAUGAAAAAAAGUAUUAUAUGGAUCAAUGAUAAACAUGGUAAAAGUUGAUCUGAAAUUCUUGCUACAUCAAUCAUCAAAUUCCCGAAAGGUUAACCAAUAUAAGGCCACAGGUUAAAUUUCAUAAGGCACAUUACGAUGAGUGUGUUAACCGUUAUAUUUGCAUAUAAACGAGAAAUUAUAUUUUUCCCUCCAACGAGUUGGAUUCAUCGUGGUUCUGUCAAUUGAUAGUUUCCAUUUGAGAUUCAUGAUUAUGGUUAUUGGAUAAAAUCAAAUUAAGGAUUAAGAUUGAAUUGGACUCAUUUUAAAUUCAAAUGGACUGAAAAAUCAUUGGAUGAACAUGAUUAAACUUUACCGGUUGAGGAAAAAGUUAAAUGGUUCAAGGAUAUGAUUUCCCUUUGGUUUCAAGUUAAAUAUCACCACGGAGAGAGAAAAGGGAGAAAGUGAUCAAUUAAUGAGUUUGUUGUUUUCAUCAUGGAAAUUAUUAUGAUGCUUGAAUUACCUAUUGGCUAGUUGACUGACCAUGAAUUAAUGAAUCAUUCGUUUCAAUUCCUUUGACAAUUGCCUGAUCUCUUAUCCCUCUUUUCCGCUCUUAUCCUUUUUAGUCAGUUCUAAAUGAUGAGUUUAUCAUGCAAACUCUUGUAAUGGAAAGUGAAAAGAUGAUGAUUAUGAACAUCAUCAUCAUCAUCAUCAACACCUACAAUAUCCAUAAUAUUGAUCACCAUCAUCAUCACUACCUUCAAUUAGUUAACUUUAAUUUCAUCAUCAAACAAACUCUUUGCAUGGCGGAUAUACAAGUUCAAGAAUUGACAGUUAAUUUAGUAUUCUAUUAAUCGUAAUGGACAAAAUGUCGCAGACUACGGAUAUUUAUUGAUUGGUUAAAUUACUUUACAACGACAAGAACUAUUUUGUUUUUGAUCCUCGAAAGGAAGGAAAAUGUCCAAGUAACAAAAAAAAAUUUCUAUUCUUUUUUUUGUUGUAAUGAUGUUUUCGAAAUAUACCUUUUGAAGAUACACAAAGAAUGAUAGAGAUAAAAACAUCAUGUCAUAAUCAUGAUGAUGAUGAGAAUAUCAUGAUGACAAUGAUUGUAUUGUUUUUCUCUGCAGUUUUCCUUUAAUGACCAAGAGUAAAGCGUAAAUUCAAGUAUUGGGGAAAAGUGAUGAGGAUAAACAAGACACCAAAGAUACCAAAGGAAAAAUUAUUUGAAACUUCACUCAGGGUGAAGAGGAAGAUGAUGAAAGAAGGAUGAAAACAAGAUGACAAAUGAAAUCCAGCAACUUGGAUGCCUUGUUGAUUUUUUUUGUUGAUUCAUUGGAUCCAUCGACCGAUCAAGUGGAAAAUUAAUCCAUUCUACCUGGCUUGGUUUCUUUCAAUCAGUCUUCACAAACACACACACACACUCACACAUUCACACAACACUUACAGUAAACAAAAAUGUGACGAAAUUUAUUUACAUUUGAUCAUUGAUCCAAAGAUGAUGAGGAUGGAGAUAGAAAGAUGAAACAAGCGGAUGGAUCAAGAGAGAGAGAGCGAGAAAAGAAACAAGAUGAAACAUUGAAGAGAAGAUGAAAGUACAAGUGUAUCCAAUGAAAGAAAAGAAAGAGAAACUAAAUGUUCACCAUGGUGAUGAUGAUGAUGAUAAUUAUGUGAAGACAAUAGUAUAUCAAAGUUUGGAAUUACUCGAAAAAAAACUGGACAAAGAACGAGAAAAGUUUCAUCGACCAAAAUGGAAACAGCUUAUGGAAACAUAGAAUAAUGAAUUUCGAGAAAGAUUCUGAACCAUUUUCGGUGUAACAAUUUACUUUUUUCUCGUUUCUUCCUAAAAGAUUCACCUUCAUGAUGAUCAGUGAUGUUUACUCAGUAUUCGGGAUGAAGAUGAUACCACAAGAGUGAGAGAGAGAGAGAGAGAGAGAGAGAGAGAGAGAGAGAGAGAGAGAGAUGGAAACAAUAACAAUAUUUUAAUGGAUGAUAAUCAGUUGAAUUUCAUCAACAUUUAACAUUAUCAUGGUGCUGAUGAUUAAAGUGUAUUAUUUAAUAAUAAUUGUGGAAUCUAUUUCCAUGCAAUUAUUAUUAUUGUCUCGAAAGGUGAAUGUAUGUUUUUCCCAGAGAUUAAUCUUGAAAUCGCCAUUGAUUGUGUUUCUGUCAAUAUUUACAGUUAUAUUCCCACUCCCACCUUACCUUCACCUCCCACCCAUUCCAUCAAUGGUAUUAAUUUAAUCUAUUGUUGUCUCGUUGAUUGUUUUCCUCAUCAUCUUUAACACAUCAUCUCAACACCAAUGAGACCAAUCAUUCCAACUGAUUGUAGAUUAGUUAAUUGGUGAUUAUCGUGAUUGUUUUGACAAUUAAUUCUUGUAUGAUAACAUUUAAUUUGCUACUCUCAUUUACCUGAGACCAUCUUAUGAAUCUAAAUUAACUUGAUUACACAUUCAGACUGAGAUUAUUUAGAUUGUCAUGAGAUUUUGUUUUCCAUUAUCAUCAUGUUGAUCUGUAAUUAUCGUUUUCUCCCAAUCAACAUGAUCACCAUUCUGUAUAUACUGUUUAAUGGUCAAUCUUUGGAUUAGUUUGCUGAUUAUACUCUUGAUUAUGUUUACUCUUAGUACAUGGACUAUUAUCGUUAACAAUUUAUUAACUAUCCUUUUGUGACAAUUAAACUUAUUGGCUUAAUUUUUGUUCCAAGUAGUUAGUAUUUCCAGCGGGAAUAUUAAACUUUAUUCUGAUUCAGUUGUCGACUGAUAAUGAAAUAUACUCCCUUCAGUUAACUUGAUUUGUUAAUGAGACAAGAGGAAGACAUGAAGAGGAGUGGAAAUAGAUGAAGAAGUGGGAAGGAUGGAGGUGGAAACUGAGCCGAAGGAGGUAAAACAAUCAAGAGAGAGAGAGAGAGAGACAAGAGUCCUUAAUAAAUUAAUUUUUUUUCUUCUCCAUCAAUUGAAGAUUCAGAAAAUCAAACAAUGGAUAAGAGAUAAUUGGAGAUCUCUUGAAAUUAUCUAAAAAUAUAUUCAUGAACAA